AUCUUUCUAGUAAAAAUUAGUACAGAUGACUUCCAAUCACCUAGUCUUGGUUAAAAUCCAAGGAAAGAUA
rnacentral:tRNA from 1 species